CCAGAAGAAUGACCGGAACGUCAACCAAAGCUCCAUAUUUAGACUAACAUGCAACUAAUCCAGAAUGCAAUGGUUGGAGUUCAUAAAACAACGCAACUGUCUGUGAUAGCCAAGAGAAACUAAAGGUGACAUGAAUGAGAAACAAAUAUGCACUUCAAGAUUAUCACUGUUUCUGACACUUCAAAAUCAAGAAAUAGUCUAUUUUAGUUUAGGAUUAACUAGUUAUCAGUAGCACAAAUGAAAAUUUUACCGAAAGGAAAAGAAACAUCUUUAUUCCACCAUUAGGAAAAUACGCAAUAACCAUGUGAAGUUAAUCUGAAAUGAAAGCUACAUGAAAUGCUUCAGAUAUUAAUAGCUCCAUGUCAUGAGGAAAAUUAUGAAAAGCGGU